UUGGUCAGAUGACAACUAAGACCCUGUUACUGUCGCUGAGUGAGGCCAGGAUGAUGUCUGGCGUGCUGUAGCAUCACUGCUAAGAGUCUCACCUGUGGGAAACUGGGCUCAUGUGCUGGUGUAAGAAAAUGUCCAGACCUAUAGAGUAGCUGUUGAACCAGAUGGGGAGCAACGGCAAUUAUUAGGAUUUUGAAGUUGGUUUGUUGUCAACUGCUAGAGGAGGCAUGGAAGAAGCAAGUAACAGACCCAGGCCAGGGUUUCACAUCAGGGAUUGGUUGGUUACUGCUGGACACUCUGCUGAAGGAACGUCUGCUGAAGGCACAGAGCUGUGAACUCAAAUGGCAACCAGAGGACCUAUCCUGAUUGUGGUUUUCUAAAUACCAUUUGCCACGUCAGGGAACCAGGAUUUCUUGGUAGGGUGCCAGAUUUACUAUAUGAAAAUACAGCAAACUGUCAUGAGGAUUGGAUGAUGCCAUGAAGGUGGAGCCCUCAUGAAUGAAGUCAGUGCCCUUUACAGCUAGGAGAGAGGUGGCUGCCCUCUGCUUCCCAUUAUGUGAGGACACAAGAUAUCAGCAGUCUGCGACUGGAAGAAGGUCCUCCCCCGACCAUGCUGGCACCCUGAUCUCAAGCUUCAAGUCUCCAGAACUGUGGGGAAUAAAUUUCUGUUGCUUAUAA